UGUGGUGUGCUGUGGGUCAUUAACUUGCUGUAAGAUGAACCUCUGUAUUUUGCUCAGUUCACACAUCCCUCUAUCCUGACCUGUCUCUUCACAGUCUGUUAAACAUCCCCUUGAUACACCCACCACCAUGCUUCUCCGUAGUGAUGGUAUUAGCCAGGUGAUGAACAGUAUUUUGUUUUUACCAGAUGAAACUCUUAAGAUGGUUGUUGUUCUGGCAUGUUUUCUCAUCCUUGCAGAUACAUUCUGUUAGUGUGGCCUUUGGGUUCUGGGAGACUUGCAAUGACCAAGGCCCUUCUUGCCUGGUUACUUGGCCCGAUGGCCAGCUCUAAGAAGAGUCUUAGUGGUUCCUAAGUUCUUUCAUUUCACAAUGAUGGAGUCCACUGUUCUCCUGGGAACAUUCAAUGCUUAAGCAAUUUUUUAUAACCUUCACUAGAAAUAUCUAUCUACCUAAUCUAUCUAUCUGUCUUUUACAGCUUGGCUUGUCACCGCAAAUCCAGAUCAGGUAAAAUACACCUGUAUCUGGGAGGUCCAACAGUCCAACAAUUCCUAACCAAAACUAAAUCAUGAAGAUGAAGGAACAUUCAAAGCAAAUCUGGAAUAAGGUCCUCGAAAAGCACCAUUUUGAGAGCCCAACUUUGACAUAAAGAGUUGCUAGAAUGCAACAUGACAAGGUAGUACCAUCUGAUUACCUACCUGCCUUCCCGGCUAGUUUGCACCACUCUCUGCUGGACCCCAGAAAUUGUCGGUAUGAACCAAUCAGGAUGUGAACCACUGGCCACCGUGAGGCAGUUGUACUGCAAAGCAGCAUCUUAGAUGUUGCGGUCCAUAUG